CGAUGUCGGCUCUUCCCAUCCCGGUCCUGCAGCAGGGGCCAAGGGUGGGGCUGCUCGCCCAUUAAAGGGGAACGUGAGCUGGGUUUAGACCGUCGUGAGACAGGUCGGUCUCUACCUGAUGGAAGCGGUAGGUGUCUGAGAGGAAGUUGUCCCUAGUACGAGAGGAACGGGGCAACGCAGCCUCCGGUGUACUGGUUGUCCGACAGGGCAUGCCAGGCAGCUGAGCUGUUGGGGAUAAGAGCUGAAAGCAUCUAAGCUCGAAGCCCCUCUCGAGAAAAGACACCUCUCCA
rnacentral:rRNA from 1 species